rnacentral:rRNA from 1 species
UGGGGAAUAUUGCACAAUGGGCGCAAGCCUGAUGCAGCCAUGCCGCGUGUGUGAAGAAGGCCUUCGGGUUGUAAAGCACUUUCAGCGAGGAGGAAGGUGGUGAACUUAAUACGUUCAUCAAUUGACGUUACUCGCAGAAGAAGCACCGGCUAACUCCGUGCCAGCAGCCGCGGUAAUACGGAGGGUGCAAGCGUUAAUCGGAAUUACUGGGCGUAAAGCGCACGCAGGCGGUUUGUUAAGUCAGAUGUGAAAUCCCCGGGCUCAACCUGGGAACUGCAUUUGAAACUGGCAAGCUAGAGUCUCGUAGAGGGGGGUAGAAUUCCAGGUGUAGCGGUGAAAUGCGUAGAGAUCUGGAGGAAUACCGGUGGCGAAGGCGGCCCCCCUGGACGAAGACUGACGCUCAGGUGCGAAAGCGUGGGGCAGCAAACAGGAUUAGAUACCCUGGUAGUCCACGCUGUAAACGAUGUCGAUUUGGAGGUUGUGCCCUUGAGGCGUGGCUUCCGGAGCUAACGCGUUAAAUCGACCGCCUGGGGAGUACGGCCGCAAGGUUAAAACUUAAAUGAAUUGC